rnacentral:rRNA from 1 species
GGGGGGGGGGGGGGGGGGGGUGGGGGCGGGGGGGUGGGGGGGGGAGGCGCGGCUGGUGUGGGGUGCUCGAGUGGCGGACGGGUGAGUAACACGUGAGUAGCGUGCCCUGGACUUUGGGAUAACUUCAGGAAACUGGGGCGCAUACCGGAUAGGCGCUCCUGCUGCAUGGUGGGGGUUGGAAAGUUUCGGCGGUUGGGGAGGGACUCGCGGCUUAUCAGCUUGUUGGGGGGGUAGUGGCUUACCAAGGCUUUGACGGGUAGCCGGCCUGAGAGGGUGACCGGCCACAUUGGGACUGAGAUACGGCCCAGACUCCUACGGGAGGCAGCAGUGGGGAAUAUUGCACAAUGGGCGGAAGCCUGAUGCAGCAACGCCGCGUGCGGGAUGACGGCCUUCGGGUUGUAAACCGCUUUCGCCUGUGACGAAGCGUGAGUGACGGUAAUGGGUAAAGAAGCACCGGCUAACUACGUG